CACGUAGGGUGCGAGCGUUGUCCGGAAUUAUUGGGCGUAAAGAGCUCGUAGGCGGUCCAUCGCGUCGGGAGUGAAAGCUGGGCUUAACCCCAGUCCUGCUUCCGAUACGGGUGGACUAGAGGUAUGCAGGGGAGAACGGAAUUCCUGGUGUAGCGGUGAAAUGCGCAGAUAUCAGGAGGAACACCAAUUGCGAAGGCAGCUCGCUGGGACGUUACUGACGCUGAGACGCGAAAGCGUGGGAGCAAACAGG
rnacentral:rRNA from 1 species